UUUGCCUGUCAAUGACGCGAAUUGUUUCCCGUUCCCAAAGCGAAAGAGAACGGGAGUCGCAAGGAAGACGGGAAAAAAAGGAGAGAGAUAAGGACUGAGGGAUGCACACCCCGAUACCCAACUCUGGCCAGCUUCACCCAGCUUCUUCUUCUUCCUCCAACAACCCGGUCCCCGCAUCCCUUUGCGUCGUAACAAGAUAACCACGACCCGGCUCAAGGGAAAAAUUGAAAAAUUUGAAACGCGAAAGAAAGCAAAGCAACAAACAAAAUUUCUCAUUUAUGCAAGGGCCAGCCGUAGGACGAGCUGCUAUUCAUUCCUUUUGCUGCGGAGCGUGUGGGUGGGAUGGUGGUGGAUAUCUAGAUACUAUAUACACCACCAUCGUUUGAAAAUCUGCGUCGCGUCUCUCUCUCUCUGUGUGUGUGUGGUUCUUACGCGUGCGGUAGGGCGUCCUAUUUUUUUUCCCCUCCUUCUCUCGCGAUUUAGUGCUACUCGCGCACAUUUGAUUGAUUGCGACGGGAUAAGGGAGUACCGGGUGCCGGAGCUGGAUUUAAGGGGACAAAAAAGGGGGAAGAGGGGGAAGAGGAAGCAAAAGGACAAAGAUUGAAUGAGAGUCCGAGUCAAUUUCAUCGACUUUCUUUCUCUCUCUCUCUAUUUUAAAUAUACAGAUUUUCAAGCUCGUUGUUAUUUUAUUGUAACCAUGCCACCGCCGACCUCUUCUGCCUCUUCAACCCCCCACUCCCAUCAUCACCGCUCGCGCCGCAUCGAAGACGCGCUAAGCCAACUCGUCGACUCCCUCAUCCCCACCACCAUCCCCCGCCGCAAUGAAGACGAUGAAACCCUUUCCGAAACAUCGACGGACGAAUAUGCGCGUCUCGAAGCGGCCGAGGCCGACGAGCGACGGCACAGACGCUGUUUGGAAAUGGCAUGGCGGGUUCUGGAUUCCCAUACAGCAGCCGCGGCUGCGGCCAGUUCUACAGGGAUAGGUGGGGGCGGUGUCGUUUCAGCGGACGUUAUCAACAAUGCGCCAGACCUGAUCAAGCGCAAAUUGCUGAGAGAAAAUGCGUCGCCGGACAAAGCGGUGCGGUUCUCGAAUUUGUAUUCGAGGCUGUUGACGCAGCCGGUGCUGGGG
rnacentral:sRNA from 1 species